rnacentral:tRNA from 1 species
GGGCCGUUGGAGCAAGCUGGCAGCUCACCUGGUACUCAGCCAGGCGGUUACGGGUUCGAGCCCCGUACGGCCUA